rnacentral:tRNA from 1 species
GUCCAGGGAUGGGAAUCGAACCCACAGUGUUCAGUGUUGCCAUGUCCACCAGGCUACCCUGGA